AUGGAGCAAGAGAUGGCGGAGUCUUCCUUUAGAUCGAGGAUCUAAAAUGGAGGAUUCAGAGAAGCAAACUUCUUCACAUUCUUCUCCGAUUCCAAUUAAAAGUAGAAAAAAGGGUGGAUUUAUUACCAUGCCUUUUAUCAUAGCAAAUGAGGCACUGGAGAAUGUGGCGAGCUAUGGAGUUUUACCAAAUAUGACAAAUUAUCUGAUGAGAGAAUACAGGAUGGGGUUUACUACUACUCAAAAUCUUCUGUUUUUCUGGUCAGCUACCACCAAUUUUUUGCCUAUUGUUGGAGCUGUUAUUGCUGAUUCAUAUUUAGGUCGAUUCCUUACUAUUGGCCUUGGUUCCAUCUUCAGUUUCCUGGGAUCAGCAGUGUUGUGGUCAACAACAAUGAUUCCGAAAGCCAGGCCUCCAGCUUGCAAUCAAAUAGGGCAGGCUUGUAAAUCUACAACGGGACCACAAUACAUGAUCUUGGUUUUCUCGUUUCUGCUCUUGUCAAUUGGUGCUGGAGGUAUAAGACCAUGUUCUUUAGCCUUUGGUGCUAACCAGUUUGACAAGGGAGGUAGCGAUCCCAACAAACAGACAGUGUUGGAGAGCUUCUUUGCCUGGUAUUAUACUUCAUCCGUAGUCUCUGUUCUGAUUGCCCUAACGGGUAUCGUUUACCUUCAAGACAGACUGGGGUGGAAAAUAGGUUUUGGAGUUCCUGCAAUCCUCAUGUUCUUAUCCGCCUUGUUUUUCUUCCUUGCUUCUCCAUUUUAUAUCAAGCCAAAGGUUCGCUCAAACGUGUUUGCCAGCUUUAUACGAGUAAUUGUGGUUGCCUUUAAGAAUAGGAAACUACAUUACCCCAAUCAGAACUCUGAUUAUCAUCACAAGAAUGGUUCAGGACCUCAAGUGCCAACGGAUAAAUUGAGAUUCUUAAACAAAGCUUGCAUCAUUAAAAACCCUGAAGAUGUUAAGCCAAACGGAGUUGCAGCCAAUCCAUGGAACCUUUGCACAGUGGAGCAAGUUGAGGAGCUAAAAGCCCUCAUUAGAGUCAUGCCAUUGUGGUCAACGGGGAUCAUGAUAUCAAUAAACUUGAGCCAAAGUUCAUUCCCACUACUACAAGCUCAAUCCAUGAAUAGACAUCUAACUAAAGGAUUCCAAAUACCAGCAGGGUCAUUCGGGAUGUUUUUGAUGGUUGCAUUAACAAUUUGGGUAUUACUGUAUGACCGUGUGAUGCUUCCAUUGGCAUCAAAGAUCAAAGGAAGACCAGUUCGUCUGAAACCUAUAGUCAGAAUGGGACUUGGUAUAUUCGUGUCUUGCAUGUCCAUGGUAGUCUCUGGUAUUAUCGAACAUAUUCGACGAAGAAGAGCAAUCAGUGAAGGGCUGUUGAACAACUCGCAGGGGUUGGUGGAGAUGUCAGCAAUGUGGCUCAUUAUACCAAACAGUUUAAACGGUAUAGCAGAGGCAUUGAACGCGAUUGGCGCCACAGAGUUCUAUUAUUCAGAGCUCCCAAAGAGUAUGUCAAGUAUUGCAUCAGCUCUUUUAGGACUGGGAAUGGCAGUUGCAAAUCUUUUAGCAAGUGUGGUUUUGAGUGCUGUGGAUAAGUACACCAAAGGAGAAGGGAAAGAAAGUUGGAUUUCAAGCAAUAUCAACAAGGGACACUAUGAGUAUUACUACUGGCUUCUUGCUCUAAUGACAGGUUUUAAUCUGCUUUAUUUUGUGGUUUGUUGCUGGCAAUAUGGACCUUCUGUUGAUGUUGACAUCACUAUGAGAAUGAUGGAACCUAGCGACGAUGAAGAUGACGAUGAAGAUAAAGAUAAAGAUGAUUUGCCUAAGAAGAAUAAAGCUACAGCUGACUCGAAUUCCUGCUAGGCUACUUCUCUUAUUACAUUGUUGAUACAUAGUACUAGUAUUUAUACAGAAUUGCUAUUACAUUUUUAGCUACUACUAGUAUAGUAUAUUAUAUAGUCCACUUUCCCUAA